rnacentral:misc_RNA from 1 species
GAAAUGCGAUAAGUAAUGUGAAUUGCAGAAUUCAGUGAAUCAUCGAAUCUUUGAACGCACCUUGCGCUCCUUGGAAUUCCUUGGAGCAUGCCUGUUUGAGUAUCAUGAAAUCUUCAAAGUAAAUCUUUUGUUAACUCAAUUGGUUUCUACUUUGGUAUUGGAGGUCUUUGCAGCUUCACACCUGCUCCUCUUUGUUCAUUAGCUGGAUCUCAGUGUUAUGCUUGGUUCCACUCGGCGUGAUAAGUUAUCUAUCGCUGAGGACACUGUAAAAGGUGGCAAAGGUAAAUGCAGAUGAACCGCUUCUAAUAGUCCAUUGACUUGGACAAUACUUUUAUGAUCUGAUCUCAAAUCAGGUAGGACUACCCGCUGAACUUAAGC